rnacentral:piRNA from 1 species
UCCUUGAAUGGGGAUGAGGCUUACACAAA